rnacentral:lncRNA from 1 species
CAUACUAGACUAGAAGUAUGGAACCUGCUCUUCAGUAUGACAUAUAUAUCUAGAAGCGCAAUAUAUUCUGUUUUGGAAAUGUGAUGAAAAAAAGGCUGUCCCCAGAUGAUCGCGGCAUUUACGAACAAAUAGGGAGGCUGAAACAGCUAGCUGAAAUCACCACAGAAUCAAGUUCAUGGAACCUUGGCCUAGACACAUCGGUUUUUGGUAGAAUCAAGGAUCUCA